rnacentral:lncRNA from 1 species
UUUUUGCCUYGGUUAAAAAGCAUCGACGGAAACGCUGCCGGGAGCUGGACGACCCCAUCUGCCAGGCGGGAAGGUGCCGGGCGACGUGCGCGGCUGCGGAGGCCGACGCAUCCCGCCAGGAGGAGCAGGAGCACCCAGGCGCGGAGGCGGGGAGCCACCGUUGUGCAGAGCUGCACCCGAAACGCCACCGGAGCCCCUCCUGCAGCAUUUGGGGGAUGCGGCUCCCACCCCGAGCGCCUCUGGGCUCCCCAAGAUCCCGGCCCGGCUCCGGCAGGGGCCGAUGCCCCCCUGGGAGCUUCCCGGGGCUGGCGGGAGCGGAGGAGAGCUCGGCGCGGGGCCGAGCGGCAGCAGACGGUGCCGCGCGGGCGAAAGCGCCCGGGAGCGUUUCGGGGCGCCGGACGCGCCGAGGGAGAGGCCGGGCGGGCGGCCGGGGAGGCCACUCGGCUCGCGAGCGUCGGCCCUGGCGGGAGGAAAAAAACGAACCCGAACCAAAACCACGCCGUGCGUGUUUAUGGGAAUGGUUUGCACCGACCACAGGAAAUAACACACGUGUCCGGACAGCGCAUCCCUGCCAGCUGCCGCGGAGCCGCCGCCGCCGCCACGUGGCCGGCGAGAUGCCCGAAAGCCCGGGGCUCGCACCCGUCCUCGAGAAGACACGCAGCGCCGGGCGCAGCGGGAGGGACAGCAGGGAGCCCCGAUCCUGGCGCUGCCGUCGCAGCAGACAGAUAUACUCGGGCGCGGAGCAGCCCCGUCUCCCCUCGUCCCUCUGAAAAGGCAGUGCCAAAGCUGCCAAAACGCUAUCCAAGGUUUCCCCGGGUGCAAUAUUUAUGGAGCCUUUUCCCCCCCCUCAGAGCAGCUGCCACCAGCUCCGGGCGCAACCGUCUCACGGCGAAACGGCACGACCCAACCGCCGGCCGCCGGGGCAAAGCGCGAGCUGCCGCAACCUCUGCCCGGAGCAGCGCCGCGAGCCGCGUGAAAGCCGUCGCUCGGCCGGGCCGGGCGCUGAUCCGAUGCYGGCGGCAGGGAGCGCGGGCCGAGCUCGUCGGGCGAACGGCCGGUCUCGGAGCGGCGCCAGGCGAUUGCGCGAGAGCAGCCCGGUACGCGCAGCGCUUUGAAAUGCAAAGGCCGAGCGCUCUGUUACUUCGCGUAGUGCCGCUGUGGUCUAAGGCCGACCGAGUGCACAACGCGAACCGGCUGCGACUGCUGAUCAGCGAGCAGAUUCAGACCGAGAGGCAUCUCCCAUGUAAAUCGCGUUUACCACUAAUUAAAUGCACAAAGAAGAUUUUUCCAGGCUCUCAAGGCUGCUUCUGCAGAGUCUCGACACCCACACGCGCACACACCCUUCGCCUCUGCAAAACGACAACUUUUUUGCGCACAAAGCACUUCAUUUCCAUGCGCGUGGAUUGGGCAAGCGCCGCCCUGGAUGCCCUUCCCGGCUUCCYGCGGCUGCUCCCUGCGAAGGGCACGCGCGCGCCGGCCGGAGCCUCCCCAGACACGCGUCUCUCCGAGGCGUCGCCGUCGCCUCCGCCCCAGGGCGCUUGCACGACGAGCGCAGGACAACUUCAGCCYGUUUCCAAGUCCAACGGAGAUGGAAGAGGGCUUGGAGAUACCAAGUUCCUGCAGGUUUUGUGA